rnacentral:misc_RNA from 1 species
GAUGAAGAACGCAGCGAAAUGCGAUAAGUAGUGUGAAUUGCAGAAUUCAGUGAAUCAUCGAAUCUUUGAACGCAUAUUGCGCUCUCUGGUAUUCCGGAGAGCAUGCUUGUUUGAGUAUCAGUAAACACCUCAACUUCCAUAUCUUUUUUGAAAUGGGAGUUGGACUUGAGUGAUCCCAACGCUUUUCCUCACCGAAAAGUGGCGGGUUACUUGAAAUGCAGGUGCAGCUGGACUUUUCUCUGAGCUAUAAGCAUAUCUAUUUAGUCUGCCUAAAAAACAGAUUAUUACCUUUGCUGCAGCUAACAUAAAGGAGAUUAGUUCUUGUGCUGACUGAUGCAGGAUUCACAAAGACGGCUUCGGCCGACUUUGUAAACUCGAUCUCAAAUCAAGUAAGACUACCCGCUGAACUUAAGCAUAUCAAUAAGCGGAGGA